UCCAGACUCCUACGGGAGGCAGCAGUGGGGAAUAUUGCACAAUGGGGGGAACCCUGAUGCAGCGACGCCGCGUGAGCGAUGAAGUAUUUCGGUAUGUAAAGCUCUAUCAGCAGGGAAGAAAAUGACGGUACCUGACUAAGAAGCCCCGGCUAACUACGUGCCAGCAGCCGCGGUAAUACGUAGGGGGCAAGCGUUAUCCGGAUUUACUGGGUGUAAAGGGAGCGUAGACGGCUGUGCAAGCCAGAUGUGAAAGCCCGAGGCUCAACCCCGGGACUGCAUUUGGAACUGUGUGGCCGGAGUGUCGGAGAGGCAGGCGGAAUUCCUAGUGUAGCGGUGAAAUGCGUAGAUAUUAGGAGGAACACCAGUGGCGAAGGCGGCCUGCUGGACGAUGACUGACGUUGAGGCUCGAAAGCGUGGGGAGCAAACAGGAUUAGAUACCCCCGUA
rnacentral:rRNA from 1 species